AGGCAAUCAAGACUCAUACUGUCGUCGUUUUCAUCCAACUUCCGCUUACCCAAUGGUUAGGCAUAAAUACGGGCUUUCAACUGCCACCCAAAACAGUCGGUCGUCAGGAAGAUGGGGUUAAGCGGUGCCUUACUUGUACUAGCUGUGUUCGGUGCCCUAACCCUGGCUUUGCCACUAGAUCAUGUUAAUAACAAUGACCAUAACGACAAUGAUGAAUCGAACCAGACACACGGAUCAACUGGUCAGAAAUUGUCAGCAGCACAGAUCCCGUAUGAAACAAUAGAGGUCAGUUGGUCUCUACGGAAGGUAAUGGCUCGGCCAUUUCCUAUUGAUUGCUACCAACCACAACAAAUUGGCCACUGUAAGCCUGGUUAUCAGGCAAUAGGCGACAAGUGCUGCCACUUUGACGAACUAUGAAGUACGGAGCCAAUGAUUUUGAGGAGUGCUGUAUUGUUUUUGGCCCUUGGAUUUGACCUUGGAUUUGACUUACUGAAACAGAGGAUUUACUUAAGAAAACUGUGUGAAAGCAGGUUUUACGGACUAGUAUCAUAUUUCGCAAAAUAUUGAUAACUUGUUGAAGGUAAUUAGAUUUCAAGAUCUCUUAUUGUAAAAACAGGACUGUAAAAUCUUUUGCAACUAUUUUUGUAAAGUUUAAUAAAGAAUGAAUCGAAGUGCA